rnacentral:rRNA from 1 species
GCAAGUCGAGCGAAGCACUUGCCAUUGACUCUUCGGAAGAUUUGGUAUUUGACUGAGCGGCGGACGGGUGAGUAACGCGUGGGUAACCUGCCUCAUACAGGGGAAUAACAGUUAGAAAUGGCUGCUAAUGCCGCAUAAGCGCACAGGGCCGCAUGGUCCGGUGUGAAAAACUCCGGUGGUAUGAGAUGGACCCGCGUCUGAUUAGGUAGUUGGCGGGGUAAUGGCCCACCAAGCCGACGAUCAGUAGCCGACCUGAGAGGGUGACCGGCCACAUUGGGACUGAGACACGGCCCAGACUCCUACGGGAGGCAGCAGUGGGGAAUAUUGCACAAUGGAGGAAACUCUGAUGCAGCGACGCCGCGUGAAGGAAGAAGUAUCUCGGUAUGUAAACUUCUAUCAGCAGGGAAGAAAAUGACGGUACCUGACUAAGAAGCCCCGGCUAACUACGUGCCAGCAGCCGCGGUAAUACGUAGGGGGCAAGCGUUAUCCGGAUUUACUGGGUGUAAAGGGAGCGUAGACGGACGGGCAAGUCUGAUGUGAAAGCCCGGGGCUUAACCCCGGGACUGCAUUGGAAACUGUCCAUCUUGAGUGCCGGAGAGGUAAGCGGAAUUCCUAGUGUAGCGGUGAAAUGCGUAGAUAUUAGGAGGAACACCAGUGGCGAAGGCGGCUUACUGGAC